UGAACUUAAGCAUAUCAAUAAGCGGAGGAAAAGAAACUAACAAGGAUUCCCCUAGUAACGGCGAGUGAAGCGGGAAGAGCUCAAAUUUGAAAUCUGGUAGCCUUCGGUUGCCCGAGUUGUAAUCUAGAGAAGUGUUUUCCGUGCCGGCCCAUGUACAAGUCCCUUGGAACAGGGCGUCAUAGAGGGUGAGAAUCCCGUCCUUGACAUGGACCCCCGGUGCUUUGUGAUACACUUUCAACGAGUCGAGUUGUUUGGGAAUGCAGCUCAAAAUGGGUGGUGAAUUCCAUCUAAAGCUAAAUAUUGGCGAGAGACCGAUAGCGAACAAGUACCGUGAGGGAAAGAUGAAAAGCACUUUGGAAAGAGAGUUAAACAGUACGUGAAAUUGUUGAAAGGGAAACGAUUGAAGUCAGUCAUGCUCUUUGGUUUAAGCCGUUCUGCGGUGUAUAUCAUUGAGUGGGGUCAACAUCAGUUUUGAUCGAUGGAUAAAGGCACUAGGAAGGUAGCACUCUCGGGUGAACUUAUAGCCUGGCGUCAUAUACAUUGAUUGGGACUGAGGAACGCAGCAUGCCUUCGGGCCGGGAUUCGUCCACGUACAUGCUUAGGAUGUUGACAUAAUGGCUUUAAACGACCCGUCUUGAA
rnacentral:rRNA from 1 species